rnacentral:rRNA from 1 species
UUCGGAUUGUAGGCUGCAACUCGCCUACAUGAAGUCGGAGUUGCUAGUAAUCGCGGAUCAGAAUGCCGCGGUGAAUGCGUUCCCGGGUCUUGUACACACCGCCCGUCACACCAUGGAAGUUGGGGGCGCCCGAAGUUGCCUAAGAAAUAAGGUACCUAAGGCGAAACCAAUGACUGGGGUGGAAGUCGUAACAAGGUAAC